rnacentral:ncRNA from 16 species
GUCCCGCUGGUGUAAUGGAUAGCAUACGAUCCUUCUAAGUUUGCGGUCCUGGUUCGAUCCCAGGGCGGGAUA